UCCCAGGGUAGCCUAGUGGACAUGGCAUCUGCCCGGUAAGCGGAACAUUGUGGGUUCGAUUCCCAUCCUUGGAC